GGUGAUGUGACACGUGUCUCAAUCUUAUCCGUCCAAAUGUAAUAUAAAUCACCGGCCUCCGGCCACCGCUGCUCAGUCCCAGAGAAAUAGUUUAGUGUGUGUGUGUCUGUGUGUGAGAGAGAGAGAGAGAGAGAGAGAGAGAGCGAGAGCGAGAGCGUGAGCAAUGGAGGAAUGGGGAUUAGGGUUUCGUUUUGGUAGGCUGAUGUGGUGUUUUAGGGUUUCCGGUGUCGCAGCUUGCUCGGAUUCGCUUGGUGCAGCUCGGGAACGGCGUUGAUCUGAGUUUGGUCGGCCGGAUCCCGUCUUGCAUCAAUUGAAUCGGAACCAGUUUGUGACGAUCUCUCUGAGUUUUAUCAUGGUUAAUUUCAUUGUGUUAUUCAGUCCAAAGUUAUGGCCUUUCCUCAUGUUUUGUUUUGGUCUGAUAAACGAGGUUCUUGUGUAGUUCUUGACAGGAAUUUGGAGGAUCAUGUGCAGUUCGUGUCAGGAAUUUGGAGGUUCUUGCGCGGUUCCUGAGAGGAAUUUGAAUUGCCGGAACUUGAAUGCAGAUUGGUGCUCUUGGUUCAUUUCUUCUUUAGAUCUUUUGCACCUUUAAAUAAUUGCUUCUGUCUUCUUCAUUGUGCCGCAAGGUUGAACAGGGUUGCUUGGAUGAAUUAGGUUGAUAGUAUGAGAAAAAAAAGAAGCAUUUUUUAUCCCGCCCCUUGUGCGGGUUUACUCUUUUUUUUUUUUUAAGUUGCUUCCCUGGUUGAAGUUUUUUGUUUUUUAGUUGCUUCCCUGGUUGAAGCAGUUUGAUUUGGUGUUGUGCAGAUUAUCUGCGCUGGAAGUUGUGGUUCUUCAGCCUAUUAAUCCCUUGAAUUUUAAUUAAAAAACAGACCUUGAUUUCAAGUUUGUGAGGUUGAACUGAAAUAUUUGAUCUAUAUUUGGAAAGGGACGGUUGAUUCUCAAAUGCUUCUGUCUCAAUUGAUUUAUGAGUUCCAUCGAUUUGGAAUUACAUUCUUUGCAGAAAGAAAUGGUUUUUUUGGAUGAUUUUGCUGGAUUUUAGAGAUGGCAUUCCUAUUUUCUCUUGGUAUUACUGUACUACAGGUCGUUUGGGAUGUUUGUUGUAUCCUCUACCGUAAAAAGAUGACUGUGCUCAUGCAUCUAUUGCAUAAUGUCACUCCUUUCUCUUUGUUGUUUUCUUGCCACACUACUAUGCUUCUUUACAUAUUCACAAAUUUCCAAAAAAGAAUGUAUGGGAGGAAUUUGUCAAAUUUGAGAGAUGGCAUUCCUAUUUUCUCUUUGUAUUGCUCUACCACAACUCAUUCCAGCUGGUUUUUGUGUUCUCUACUUAACAAAAUGACUGUGCACAUGCAUCUAUUAUAUUAUGACAAGCCCUUUCUCUUUGUUGUUUGUUCCCUACUACUAUGCCUUGUUUUCAAGUUUGUUUAGUUGAAUUUAAAUAGUUGGUCUACAUUUGGAAAGGGACACUUGAUUUUCUAAUGCAUUCAUCUCAAUUGGUUUAUCAAUUUCAUUCUAUUUGGAAUUCAUGCGCUCUUACUCUGCCAUGGCUUUUCUAUGCUGUCUAUUGUAUCCUCAACUUUGCUCUAUUGAAUCACUCUCAAGCCUGAGCUGGAGCUCAUCUUGAUCAAAUAUCUCUCAAGCUCGAGCUCAGCUCAACCUUGGCACUUUCCAUAUUACCCUUGAAAAAAUCAUAUAAUUACAUAUAUAAUAUACGAUAUAUUAAACAAGUUGUAUCCUCUACUGUAACAUGUGCAUACAUACACAUGUUUAUGUGUAUAUAUUGUAUCGUUGCAUGCCUUUUUCUGUGUCAUGUCCUCUUUACUGUAGUACUACUUUACAUUAAUAAGGGAGUUCAGAUGAGAUCCUACCUCUUUGAGUUCGUUUCUUACAGGCUAGUGACUAACGGAACCAUUAAGUUCACAUUGAACUGAAAUGAGAUCCCUCGAGUGAUAGUAGCAUCUCAAGUGCAUUUUGUGUUAAGCUGAAUGACUUGGUCACCAUCAUAUAAGGUGUUGUUUAACAAUAAAAGUUCCAUGGUUGUUGCUAUGGGUGUUGAGGAAAUCUACUUUGCAUAGAGCUUGAACACUUUAGAUGACAGCAUACAACCGCCAGAGUUUAUACUUUAUAGGCAUCCUCCACCUUCUUUCCUUGCCAAAGCAAAGUUGACAUCUUAAGCCUUGCUGCUAGUCGUUUUGAAAUAUUAUAAUGGCCAAAUUGCUCCAGGUUUGAGUAUAAUGAUCUAAUUGCUAUUUUGCUGUGCUUAUGGCUUAGAAAGUGCAGAUAUUGAAGUGUCUUCUGAGAUUGUAUGUUUUGCAGGUUUUUGACUGAGUGAUUUAGAGAUGUGCCGUUCUCAUCUGAAACAAUUUUUGAGGUCACAGACUUAUAGAUGUGACAUGAUCAAUUAACAAGCUGGUGAAUUGACUAAAUCUGGAUUGGUUAGAGCUGGUUGAAGGCUUGGUGUAAGGAACUCAAGUGAGUUUAACAUGUGAGCCAGAGGCCAUUUUCAAAUACUGGUCAGGUUGCUUGUGUUGGACUGGAAUCUCUUGUUGUUGGUGUGACUGUGUGAGCUUCUUGCCAGUGGACUCUGAACCCCCGCAAUUUUGGCCACCAGGUUGUGCGUCAGUUUGAGGAGUGAGGAUAGGCGAGAAGGUGUUGCAGUCUCUCAAUCUCCUUCACAAAUCUUUCCACGGCGGGCCUUGGCAAGCAAACAGGCACAUGGACCUUUUACCAGACCUCCAUACAUUGUGUUCCCCCACCAAAAGUCCAUGUUCAUCAACUUUUUGUUGCAUCCCGACACAGUACGUUUGUUCUUGGUUAUGAAGGGAGGCCUCCAUAUGCAUUCGUCGACUCCAACACAUAUUUCAGAGGAUUGUCGCAAAACAUCUUCGCAUUUGCUACUGCUGGCAGGUAUCCAAAUGGCAAAUGAACUGCCAUAGAACCCCACUGCCGUUCAAAUGAUUAUCCAGACAGGCUCCUGAAUCAAGAUCAAUGAGAAUUAAGGGAUUCCCCUAGAACCCAUCAACAUUGAAGAUGAGCUGCUCCACAUGUAUGGGAAUGGUGGCUGCAGGCGGUCACCAAGAUCUUUGAGCCGGAUAUCAGCAUUGGCCGCAAUGAACAACACCCCCUCCCCAUUGCAACCCAAAGCAAGCUUCCUUACUGUCUUCUCCAGAAGCCAGCCGGGCUAAUGGAAGGUAGACACGAGAGCUUUGGCCAUGGCCUCCGUUGAUCACCUUUGCAGGAUCCCGACCACUCAUGGAUGCAUGGUUCGGCCAUCUAGAAAUAGAAACCAGGAAUAUAUGUGGAACCUUUGGGACUCAUGCUCGCCAAUGUCUGAGACGCUUGAGCCCAUGGGCGUGGGAUCUGGCCAUUCUGUGGGGGUCACCAGCACUGGCCUCCUCCUGCACUGUGAAAACCCGAGGGGAUGCUGCCAUGAUAUAUAUAUGAUUAGAGGGUAAAAGUGGGAGGGCAUGCAUGGUUACACCGGAAAAUAGCGUAGGCGAUGUGGGCAAUUGUGACUUUGUGAAAGUACUUGUCCGGACUGUAUUUUCUUGCGCAUCACACACUAAACGUUUUUUAAUCAGUCUUGUGAGGAACGACUUAUUGUUGAAUUGAUUAUUUUUUAAAAACUAUUUUUACUCUAA